UCACCCCUCAAGCCCCGUGCUUGGUGUUGGACGGCCUGGUCGAGGUGCCCUCGACCCCUCCUAAAGACAAUGACGGCGGCCUGUGGUUCCCCCGGUACACUGAGCUUUUAACUGAGCACGUAUCGGACAAGGGCGCCCGGGACCCGGUCCUCUCCUUUCACAAGGAAACUUUUUUCAAGG
rnacentral:misc_RNA from 1 species